UCGAGUGGAUAGCCAUGCGAGUCGACACAGCAAUGUGUGGCAUACGGCUCAGUAACACGUAGUCAACAUGCCCAGGGGACGUGGAUAACCUCGGGAAACUGAGGAUAAACCGCGAUAGGCCAUCACUUCUGGAAUGGGUAAUGACUUAAAUCUAUAUGGCCCCUGGAUUGGACUGCGGCCGAUCAGGCUGUUGGUGAGGUAAUGGCCCACCAAACCUGUAACCGGUACGGGCUCUGAGAGGAGGAGCCCGGAGAUGGGCACUGAGACAAGGGCCCAGGCCCUAUGGGGCGCAGCAGGCGCGAAACCUCUGCAAUAGGCGAAAGCUUGACAGGGUUACUCUGAGUGAUUUCCGUUAAGGAGAUCUUUUGGCACCUCUAAAAAUGGUGCAGAAUAAGGGGUGGGCAAGUCUGGUGUCAGCCGCCGCGGUAAUACCAGCACCCCGAGUGGUCGGGACGUUUAUUGGGCCUAAAGCAUCCGUAGCCGGUUCUACAAGUCUUCCGUUAAAUCCACCUGCUUAACAGAUGGGCUGCGGAAGAUACUAUAGAGCUAGGAGGCGGGAGAGGCAAGCGGUACUCGAUGGGUAGGGGUAAAAUCCGUUGAUCCAUUGAAGACCACCAGUGGCGAAGGCGGCUUGCCAGAACGCGCUCGACGGUGAGGGAUGAAAGCUGGGGGAGCAAACCGGAUUAGAUACCCGGGUGGUCCCAGCUGUAAACGAUGCAGACUCGGUGAUGAGUUGGCUUAUUGCUAACUCAGUGCCGCAGGGAAGCCGUUAAGUUUGCCGCCUGGGGAGUACGGUCGCAAGACUGAAACUUAAAGGAAUUGGCGGGGGAGCACCACAAGGGGUGAAGCCUGCGGU
rnacentral:rRNA from 1 species